UACAGAGGGGCGAGCGUUGUUCGGAAUUACUGGGCGUAAAGGGCGCGUAGGCGGCCCUCUAAGUCGAACGUGAAAUCCCCGGGCCUCAACCCGGGAACUGCGUCCGAUACUGGAGGGCUCGAAUCCGGGAGAGGGAUGUGGAAUUCCAGGUGUAGCGGUGAAAUGCGUAGAUAUCAGGAGGAACACCGGUGGCGAAGGCGGUUCUCUGGGCAUUAACCUGACGGCUGAGGAGCGAAAAGUGUGGGGAGCGAACAGGG
rnacentral:rRNA from 1 species